GAGGCCCGCACAAGCAGCGGAGCGUGUGGUUUAAUUCGAUGUUACACGAAGAACCUUACCAGGGUUUGACAUGCAAGUGGUAGGAAGCCGAAAGGUGACCGACCCUUCGGGGAGCUUGCACAGGUGCUGCAUGGCUGUCGUCAGCUCGUGUCGUGAGAUGUUCGGUUAAGUCCGCUAACGAGCGCAACCCUCGCUGUGUGUUAUAUGUGUCACACGGGACUGCCGGUCUUAAGCCGGAGGAAGGUGGGGAUGAUGUCAAGUCAGCAUGGCCUUUAUAUCCUGGGCUACACACACGCUACAAUGGCCAACACAAUAGGUUGCUAAGCCGCGAGGUGGCGCCAAUCCAUAAAGUUGGUCUCAGUUCAGAUUGUAGGCUGCAACCCGCCUGCAUGAAGAUGGAGUUGCUAGUAACCGCAGGUCAGCUAUACUGCGGUGAAUACGUUCCCGGGGCUU
rnacentral:rRNA from 1 species